rnacentral:misc_RNA from 1 species
UCUCCGUAGGUGAACCUGCGGAGGGAUCAUUACUGAGUGAGGGCUCACGCCCGACCUCCAACCCUUUGUGAACCAAACUUGUUGCUUCGGGGGCGACCCUGCCGUUUCGAUGGCGAGCGCCCCCGGAGGCUCAUCAAACACUGCAUCUCUGCGUCGGAGUAUUAGUAAAUCUAAUCAAAACUUUUAACAACGGAUCUCUUGGUUCUGGCAUCGAUGAAGAACGCAGC